GACGAACGCUGGCGGCGUGCCUAAUACAUGCAAGUCGAGCGAGAACCAGACCUUCGGGUCUGGGGACAGCGGCGAACGGGUGAGUAACACGUGGGUAAUCAACCCUCGGUACUGGGAUAGCCCGGGGAAACCCGGAUUAAUACCGGAUGGCCCUUCGGAUCUUCGGUUCUGAAGGAAAAGGUAGCUUCGGCCUCCGACCGAGGACGAGCCCGCGGCGGAUUAGCUUGUUGGUGGGGUAACGGCCUACCAAGGCGGCGAUCCGUAGCUGGUCUGAGAUGACGAUCAGCCACACUGGGACUGAGACACGGCCCAGCCUCCUACGGGAGGCAGCAGUGGAGAAUCUUGCGCUAAUGCGGGAAACCGUGACGCAGCGACGCCGCGUGAGGGAAGAAGGCCUUCGGGUUGUAAACCUCUUUCAGGAGGGACGAAGCUACUCGGGUUAAUAGCCCAGAGGGUGACGGUACCUCCAGAAGAAGCCCCGGCUAACUACGUGCCAGCAGCCGCCGUAA
rnacentral:rRNA from 1 species